AGUCCAUUAAGCCUAGGGACCUUUCUAGAUUUUUCUUUGGAACAAAAAUAAAUAAAAAAAUACUAAGAACUUAAUAUAAAAAAAUCUAAGGAGUAAUGAGCAAAAUACAUCAAAAUAUACCUAAACCUAGACUCUAGCUAUAAAGUACUGCUUUAAAAAAAUCUGAAGAGGGGAACAAAAGAUCAACGCUGAAAAUGAGCUAAAAAACUGAAAAAAUGACUGAAAUAAAAAAUCUGUAGCGCCAUUUUCUCUAAAACAGGAGGACGGACUAAAUACACAAAAAUGAAUGCCGAGAAAAUCUAAACAGUUGAGCCCUUCCCACUGUUUUGCUGCUUCUUCAUUUUCACGACUGGGGCCUCCAUUGGAGGAGGCACCAUAAAAGAUCUGGAUUCUGCUUCUUCUUCAACCAUUAGAGACCUUUGAACCCUCACGCCAACCACGCUAACAAGCGGCCAUAAACACGACCGCACCUCCCUGACUUCACCUUCUUCAUCCCCGAAACCUGCUGAAAUAUCCGCGAAACAGUCCGAAAAGCCUCGUCCAAAGCAGAGCAGAUCAGAGGUGCCGAUUCGAGGUCAGUUUCUGAAACUUGUCGAGGUUCCAGCGAGUUUCGAGACUGGAACGUAGUUCCGUUCGAGUCCGUCAACCGUUUCGGCUAUGGUCCAGUCUUCCUAUUAAAGUUUAGUUGCUAUUGGAUUUCAUCUCGUCUGUUGGCUGCUUCGUGUAAGAUUUAAUUGGAAAUUCUUAUUAAUACAUCAGAAGAGUAUUUUUGUUGCUCUCUAUUGGCUGCUUCGUGUAAGAACUCUUGCUCACUCUUUAAUUUUCAAAUGUUAUUUCUGUCCGUGUUUAGUUGAAAUAGUUGUUUGCCUUUGUGUUUGAUUUUGUCUUCUUUCGAGAGAUUGAUGUUGCGCAUACUAGGGA
rnacentral:lncRNA from 1 species